GCCUGUGGUCUAGUGGUUCGAGCAUUGGACUAUGGCUCUGGAGGCCAGGGUUCAAGUCCCAGCUUGGCC